rnacentral:rRNA from 1 species
AUUGUUCAACGGCCGCGGUAUCCUAACCGUGCGAAGGUAGCGUAAUCACUUGUUCUUUAAAUGAGGACUAGUAUGAACGGCUUCACGAAGGCUAUACUGUCUCCCUUAUCUAAUCAGUUAAACUAAUCUCCCCGUGAAGAAGCGGGGAUUCACAUAUAAGACGAGAAGACCCUAUGGAGCUUAAAACACCUCUAAACAUUUGACCUCCACACUACUAUUUUCAGAAAUCUUCACAAAGCCCGUCAUUUUGUUUUAAGUUUUAGGUUGGGGUGACCGCGGAGAAUAACCUAACCUCCACGUAGAAAGAACUUUCUUUUCUAAGCAAAAAGCUACAUCUUUAUGCAUCAACAUAUUGACCU